GCCAUUUAUUUAUUUAUUGUACUGGGGAUUGAACGCAGAACUCAGCGCUUUCGAUAUAGGCGGCAGCCCCAUUGAGCUAAAUCCCCCGUCUGAAAGUAACCCUUUAAAAUGAGUAAGUAGGGCCGAGAUGGCACACGCCUGCAAUCCCAGCACUCGGGAGGCUGAGGCAGGAGGAUUGCUGCUCAUUUGAGGCCAACCUGAGCUAUGUAUUGAAUUCAAGGCCAGGAUGGACUCAAAGAGAAUAGGUAGUUUGCUGUAACUUGCCCAAGGAUUGCCCUAGAAGAAUUCCCACAAUUCAGGGUGCGGGCCCCGCCUCCUGUGGCCUUGUGCCUGUGGAUUGGCCCGUUUUGGCGCCCGGGCGUGGCUGUGGCCCAGCCGAGUCGGCCGUCGCCAUGGCCCACGCUGAGGCCCUGGGGCCUCGACGCUCGUUCUGCUCGCCUGUACCGGGUCUCCUGUGGCUCCUGCCGUGUUUGCUUGGCACUCGGGCCAACAAGCUUAACGUUCCGCAGGUGUUGCUGCCCUUCGGCCAGGAGCCAGGCCCCGCGCUCUUCCUGCUGGAGGCCGAGCGGGGCUGCUACGCCUGGCAUUCCACCCAUGAUGAUGUAGUUACUGUUGAGCCUUUAUAUGAAAAUGGCACCUUAUGUUCUCAAAGAGCCGUACUCAUUGCUGAAUCUACGCAGCCAGUAUGCCUCAGCAGUGUUAUUCUUGCUCGAGAAAUAGUGACUGACCAUGAACUACACUGUGAUGUUAAGGUUGAUGUGAUAAACAGCAUUGAAAUUGUAUCUCGGACCCGGAAACUCUAUGUAGAUGAUUCACCUCUGGAACUGAUGGUGAGAGCAUUGGAUGCUGAAGGAAAUACUUCUAGCAGUUUGGCAGGGAUGAUGUUUGAGUGA
rnacentral:lncRNA from 1 species